GGUACAGAAGAAGGCUCAUACUACCACCAGGGUCAUAAAACUACCCCUGGAAAUGCCCACAACUCCUAUGAAAGCCUUGUCAAAUAUGUGUUUCUAGGUUCACGGUACAGAAGAAGGGUCACACUACCACCAGGGUCAUAAAACUACCCCUGGAAAUGCCCACAACUCCUACGAAAGCCUUGUCAAAUAUGUGUUUCUAGGUUCAUGGUACAGAGGAAGGGUCACACUACCACCAGGGUCAUAAAACUACCCCUGGAAAUGACCACAACUCCUACGAAAGCCUUGUCAAAUAUGUGUUUCUAGGUUCACGGUACAGAAGAAGGGUCAAACUACCACCAGGGUCAUAAAACUACUCGUGGAAAUGCCCACAACUCCUAUGAAAGCCUUGUCAAAUAGGUGUUUCUAGGUUCACGGUACAGAGGAAGGGUCAAACUACCACCAGGGUCAUAAAACUACUCGUGGAAAUGCCCACAACUCCUAUGAAAGCCUUGUCAAAUAGGUGUUUCUAGGUUCACGGUACAGAGGAAGGGUCAAACUACCACCAGGGUCAUACAACUACCCCUGGAAAUGCCCACAACUCCUAUGAAAGCCUUGUCAAAUAUGUGUUUCUGAGUUCGGCUGAAACCCCACACCCACGCCCGGGACACAACCCCAAGCGACACCCAUUCACUGCUGGGCGGACAGGGGCACGGGGUAGAGGAGGCUGCCCAUCCGUCUCCACUCCGCCCGGGAAUCGAACACGGGACCUCUUGGUUGUGAGGCGAGAGCGUGUGUUUGAUGGCCCUGACCUGACCUGCAAUGUCUAAGUGUAAUAAUAAUAAUAAUAAUAAUAAUAAUAAUAAUAAUAAUAAUAAUAAUAGCAACGAAAAUGAACUAUAACAUAAAAACUAUCCCUAAUAUCAUUUUAAUCACUCUGCUCCCUAUUAUAAUUAUCAGUAGUAUUCUAUCGCGCUGUGUUGUCUUGUUCUGCGGGGGGGGGGGGGGGGGGGGGGGUGGGGACGCGGCCCCAAACUUGGCUAUAUCAUUUAAAUAAGGUUUCCCGUAGAAGGUUUGCGGCUGGCUCCGUGCCCUCCCAUACGUGACGCAAGACUCACAAAACGCGCAAUUUCAACUUAAAGCCCCGAUUGAGGAAACUGGUUGAAAGCAGCUUGAAAGUCAGCUUGAGAGACACAUUCAGACCACAGUCCAACGCAGCGUCUUCGUAACAGACCCGAACCAAGCUAUAGAAUCCCAUACAAUCCAAAACGGUGAGGUCUUCUAUGCCUCACUAAACACACAAGGCUUUUCCUGUAUAGUUUCAUCAAAUUUGUGAACUUGUAUAUAAACACCAGACACUGUACAAGGAAAUUUCGAAGGCUCUGGUAUUGGUUUGGGAGCUUACUAACCCGUCAUGGGGAAGAGGUGAAUUACACACACACACACACACACACACACACACACACACACACACACACCUCCGCAGCGCCAUGGUUAGCAGACUCGCCUCAGCCGUGUGUCCCGGGUUCGAUUCUCGGGCAGAGUGGAGCCCUCGCUGUAAAAACUAGCGGUUCCACUCCCCCCCCUCCCCCCUCCCCCCCCCCCCCCUCGCGCGCGGAAGGCUCUGUAAUCCGUUACUUCCUGAUCAAAGGACUCAUCUUGUAUACAGUUGAUCAGGAUGCAAGGAAGUCACACAUCCUUCCGUGUCUUCUUAUAUCGCAUUUUAUAACAAGAAAAAUAUACUUUCUUUAAUUUACAGCAAAGGAGACAGCUCAAGGGCACAAAAAAAGGAAACAAUAAUUAAAAAAAGCCCGCUACUCGCUGCUCCUAAAAAGAAUCCAAAGAGGUGGCCGAAAGAGAGGUCAGUUUCGGGAGGAGAGGUGUCCUGAUACCCUCCUCUUGAAAGAGUUCAAGUCGUAGGCAGGAGGAAAUACAGAUGAAGGAAGAUCGUUCCAGAGUUUACCAGCGUGAGGGAUGAAAGAGUGAAGAUGCUGGUUAACUCUUGCAUAAGGGGUUUGGACAGUAUAGGGAUGAAAGAGUGAUGAUGCUGGUUAACUCUUGCAUAAGGGGUUUGGACAGUAUAGGAAUGAAAGAGUGAAGAUGCUGGUUAACUCUUGCAUAAGGGGUUUGGACAGUAUAGGGAUGAAAGAGUGAAGAUGCUGGUUAACUCUUGCAUAAGGGUUUGGACAGUAUAGGGAUGAAAGAGUGAAGAUGCUGGUUAACUCUUGCAUAAGGGGUUUGGACAGUAUAGGGAUGAAAGAGUGAAGAUGCUGGUUAACUCUUGCAUAAGGGGUUUGGACAGUAUAGGGAUGAAAGAGUGAAGAUGCUGGUUAACUCUUGCAUAAGGGGUUUGGACAGUAUAGGGAUGAAAGAGUGAAGAUGCUGGUUAACUCUUGCAUAAGGGGUUUGGACAGUAUAGGGAUGAAAGAGUGAAGAUGCUGGUUAACUCUUGCAUAAGUGAUUUGGACAGUAUAGGGAUGAAAGAGUGAAGAUGCUGGUUAACUCUUGCAUAAGGGGUUUGGACAGUAUAGGGAUGAAAGAGUGAAGAUGCUGGUUAACUCUUGCAUAAGGGGUUUGGACAGUAUAGGGAUGAAAGAGUGAAGAUGCUGGUUAACUCUUGCAUAAGGGGUUUGGACAGUAAAGGGAUGAAAGAGUGAAGAUGCUGGUUAACUCUUGCAUAAGGGGUUUGGACAGUAUAGGGAUGAAAGAGUGAAGAUGCAGCAAGCAAUAUUCACUACAAUUGAGUCCAUCAUUGCUGGAAGUAUCAUUAGCGGGUAAAAAAAACGUUUAAAACAGUGUAAUCUUGUGACGCCUAAACACACCGCGAUAACACAUCUUUUAAUUCCAUUGAGUUUUGAAAACCGUGUUAUGAUAUAAACAACUCUUGCCUGUCUUGUGUAGCAGACCAGCGACCUCCAGGACUAAUGAGCGUGCUGGGUGGAGGACUCACAAGGCCUGCCACGCCCGCCAACAGGUAUACGCAAAGUUGGAAAGUUUGGUUUAGUCGGCGCA